CAGUAGCCGCGGUAAUACGUAGGUCCCGAGCGUUGUCCGGAUUUAUUGGGCGUAAAGGGAGCGCAGGCGGUUUAGUAAGUCUGGAGUUAAAGGCAUUGGCUCAACCAAUGUAUGCUUUGGAAACUGUUUGACUUGAGUGCAGAAGGGGAGAGUGGAAUUCCAUGUGUAGCGGAGAAAUGCGUAGAUAUAUGGAGGAACACCGGUGGCGAAAGCGGCUCUCUGGUCUGUCACUGACGCUGAGGCUCGAAAGCGUGGGUAGCGAACAGGAUUAGAUACCCGCGUAGUCCCUGUCUCUUAUACA
rnacentral:rRNA from 1 species